rnacentral:rRNA from 1 species
AUUGAACGCUGGCGGCAUGCUUUACACAUGCAAGUCGGACGGCAGCACAGAGAAGCUUGCUUCUUGGGUGGCGAGUGGCGAACGGGUGAGUAAUAUAUCGGAACGUACCGAGCAGUGGGGGAUAACUAAUCGAAAGAUUAGCUAAUACCGCAUAUAUUCUGAGGAAGAAAGCAGGGGACCAUUUGGCCUUGUGCUGUUUGAGCGGCCGAUAUCUGAUUAGCUAGUUGGUGGGGUAAAGGCCUACCAAGGCGACGAUCAGUAGCGGGUCUGAGAGGAUGAUCCGCCACACUGGGACUGAGACACGGCCCAGACUCCUACGGGAGGCAGCAGUGGGGAAUUUUGGACAAUGGGCGCAAGCCUGAUCCAGCCAUGCCGCGUGUCUGAAGAAGGCCUUCGGGUUGUAAAGGACUUUUGUCAGGGAAGAAAAGGGCGGGGUUAAUACCCCUGUCUGAUGACGUACCUGAAGAAUAAG